CUCUAUGGUUAAUACCCAUAGACGAUGACAUUAGCUGCAGAAUAAGCACCGGCUAACUCUGUGCCAGCAGCCGCGGUAAUACAGAGGGUGCAAGCGUUAAUCGGAAUUACUGGGCGUAAAGCGAGCGUAGGUGGCUUGAUAAGUCAGAUGUGAAAUCCCCGGGCUUAACCUGGGAACUGCAUCUGAUACUGUUAAGCUAGAGUAGGUGAGAGGGAAGUAGAAUUUCAGGUGUAGCGGUGAAGUGCGUAGAGAUCUGAAGGAAUACCGAUGGCGAAGGCAGCUUCCUGGCAUCAUACUGACACUGAGGCUCGAAAGCGUGGGUAGCAAACAGGAUUAGAUACCCUGGUAGUCCACGCCGUAAACGAUGUC
rnacentral:rRNA from 1 species